rnacentral:rRNA from 1 species
AUGGCUAUUCGACCAUAUAUAUGUAUAGAGAGUCGGACCUGCCCGGUGAUUAUUCUUUUAACGGCCGCAGUACCCUGACUGUGCAAAGGUAGCAUAAUAACUUGCCUUUUUAUUGAAGGCUAGAAUGAACGGUCUGACUAGGAUGCAACUGUCUCUUUUUUCUUUUUCUAAAAAUUAUCUUUAGAGUUAAAAGACUCUAAUUAAAACUGAGGACGAGAAGACCCUAUCGAGCUUAAGAGUAAUUAUCAAACUAUAGAUAUUACUUUAAAUCUAUACUUAAUCUAUGAAUCUUUAGUUGGGGCGACAGCGGAGUAUAAAAAACCUCCGUUAACCAUGAGAUUUUAACCAGAUCCAGGUUUUAUCCUGAAAAGGAAUAAGUUACCGUAGGGAUAACAGCGUAAUAUCUUUGGGGAGAUCUUAUCGAAAAAGGAGAUUGCGACCUCGAUGUUGGAUUAAAAAACCCAGAAAGGUGCAGAAGCUUUAAUGGUCAGUCUGUUCGACUGUUAAAUUUUU